UGGCUGUAAACUAGACUUGGCAAUCUCGAUCCAUACUCGCGGGUGCCCGCGGGUUAUCCGCAAAUUUGCGGAUAUAGAUAUCAACUUUUUCAACCCAAAAAAUUACGGGUAAAACGGGUGGAUACCCAUUAAGUUGUGGAUAUUUUUGGUAACCCGCGGGUACCCACGGGUACCCGCACAUAUAUUUUUUAAUUACAAAAUAUAUUUUCUUAAUUAAAAUAUAUAUAUUUUUAUUUACUCAUCCUACAAAUUCUAACUUUAAUUUUUUAUCACGUCUUUUAUAUUACAAAAUUUUUAAGCUCUAAGACUUUAAAUAUUUUUAUUGUAUGUUAUGAUAUUUUAAAUAAUAAGUUAUGCUAUAUUUUAAAACUUAUAUAUAUAUAUGUAUUUUGCAUUUAAAAAAUAUAAGAGAAAAAAAAAAUUUAUGGGUAACCCGCAUACCCACCCGCCCACCCGCGGGUGGGUAUGGGUAAUAAUGUUGGCUACCCAAAAAUUUAUGGGUAAAUUUUACCCAUGCCCAAAUAAUUUGUGGGUACAAUAACUCGCCCGCGGGUUACCCAAUCCGCUCGUUUGCCAGGUCUACUGUAAACUAAACUUUUCAAUAUUAAUUAAUACCAUUAAAAAAAUGUGUUUGGUCUCAGCUAGGGUGGCCUCUUAUGAUUUUUUUUUUAUGUUGGAUCAUGUGAAGUUAUAUUCCGAGUCGACGUCAUGGUUAAAAUGUUAAAGAUUUGAGAUUUAUGAAUGUUGGGUAACUAAAAUUUGAGGUU
rnacentral:lncRNA from 1 species